AUAAAAUAAUAAAAUAAAAAUUUAACUUGUGUUAUAUCAAUCCGAACCCGUUCCGCUAUAUUUUAUAUCAAUUCAAACACGUCCCGCUAUAUUUCUCAUGAUAUCUU
rnacentral:sRNA from 1 species